UCUGGGAUAGCUCAGUUGGUAGAACAUGAAACUCUUAAUCUUAGGGUUUUGGGUUUGAGCCCCACAUUCAGCA